GAAUUUGGGGGGAGCAGGAGGUUUGGGGGGACAGAGAGGGGUUGGGGGUGUUUAGGAGGAGCAGGAGGAGAUUGGGGGAUACUUGGGGCAAGAAAGGGGUAGUUUGGGGGGGCAGUUUUGGGCAGGGAGGGGGAAUUUAGGGGCAGCGGUUGAGGAGCAGGAAAAAGGUGUUCGGGGGCACAGGGAGGGUUGGGGGGCAACUGGGACUGGGAAGGGGCAAUUUGGGCACUGGGGGGUAUUUGGGGGGGACAAGGAGGGGUUUUUUCCCCCCUGUGUCAUUCCCAGGGUUUCCCUUGUCACCAGGGGGGUUCAGGUCACCCCAUCCAGGGUGUCCCCCGGUGUCACCGUAUCUCCUUGUUGUCAGUGCCAUCCCCGUUCUCUGUGUGACACAGGUGUGACAUGGAGUGACACAACAGCAUGACACAGGUGUGACAUGAUAGCGUGACAUGGGGUGUGACACAGCAGGGACAGGUAUGAAAUCGGUGACAUGACAGGGUGACACAGGUGUGGUGCAUGGUGUGACAGGCGUUACCUGUGUCACCAUGCAACAAUGUGACUGUGGCACCACCGGACACCCAAUGGGACCCAUGAUACAACUGUGACACCGCGUGGCACAGCCUGAGAUGUGACACACCCACACAGCCCCGUGUGACACAAUCUGAGCCCGAGGUACAACCCAAAGGUACAACCUCACCCAGCACAGCAGGACACACAACACGACACACGACACGACUGUGACACCACGUGAUACAGCCGGACGUGUGACACAACCCCGUGUGGCACAGCCUGACACGUGACAUGGCGUGACACAGCCGGCCCCAUGGUGACAAUGUGACACGAGGUGACACAGCGUGUGACACCGGGAGCACAGCAACCACCGAGACGCCCCCCCCCUCCCCCCAAUACACACACACACACAGAGGGGGGUCUGUGCUACACCUGGACGCGGCUGUUGUGUCACCGGUUGUGUGUCACUGCACCCCGGCUGUGUCCCCAGUUUUGUGCUGUGGUUGUGUGUCACCGUGUCCCCGGUUGUUCCCUCAGUUGUGUCCCCCGUUCUGUCUUGCUGUGUCCCCACUUGUGUGUCACCGUGCCCCCGGUUGUACCCCCAUCUGUGUCCCCAGUUGUCACUCGUUCUGUCCCCAGUUUGUCUCCAAUUUUGCGUCACCGUGUCCCCGGUUGUACCCUCAGUUGUGUCCCCACUUCUGUCUUGUUCCGUCCCCACUUGUGUGUCACCGUGUCCCCGGUUGUGCCCCCGGCUGUCCCGGGGUUGCACCCCAAGCUGUGUGUUGCUGUACCCAGAGUUGUGACCCCCGCUUGUGUCCCGCUGUCACCUCACCCGAGUCCCCGCCUGUGUCCCCCUCGGUUGUUCCCCCCAUCCGUGUCUUGCUGUGCCUCAGUUUCUGCCUCUGGUUGUGUCUCACUCUCCCCUCCGACUGUGUCCCCGCUGCCCCCCCCAGUUGUGUCCCAACAUCCCCUCGGUUGUCACCCCGGCUGUGUCCCCAGUGCUGUCCCCUGUUGUGCCCCUCCUGGUACCCCCAACUGCGUCUCCACCUGUGACCCCCUGGGUUGUGUCCCCUGGGUUUGUCACCCUGUCCCCCCAACUGUGCCCCCCCCCCAGUUUUGUCCCCCUGACUGCCUGUGACCCCCCAUUGUCCCCCAGUUGUGUCCCUCCCGUGUCCCUGCCAUGUCCCCCCAU